GUACUUUGCAGCUUAUCAGUCUCCUGCUUCUGCACACGUCUCAGCUGAAAGCUAGAGAAAUAAAAAAUUUAGAGUAACAGAGGGAAUUUGCAUAAACAAGAGCAAUUGAUUCUGAAAUGAAGAAGUUAUCAGGACUUUUCAAUAGGAAUCUAAUUGCUUGUCUUCACACCUUCUGUCACCAGCUGAAUGUUCCAGAUUAUCAUGCUCUUGUAUUCCUGGAGUAGAGGGAACACAGUGUGGCUGCUGCUAAAUUUGGUGUGUUUGGGAACAAAAUCAAGACAACAGAGAUACAAGGGAUGCAAGCCUGGUGCCAUCUGCCUGAAGAGCUCCCCAGUAGGGCAAGGGGCCGGAGGACCACCCCUCCCUGUCCUCCUGGGCCCGGUGCUUCCUGAACAAGACUCCUGGGCACCAGGACCCUCUGCAAAAGGUCUUGGGCAUCUAUGGUGAGAGCGAUGGCCAGAAAGCCUCGGACCACCCAGAGCCAGGUACCACCAGAGGCAGCUCAGAGGGGAGGGCGAUGAGGCCCACCGUGGGGUAAAGGAGGGCAAAGGGAGUUUACGAGAUGAGCAGGUGACAGGUCAAAGAGGGGCACAUGGCGCCCAGAGGUAGAAACCUCAUGUGCUGAAGCGAUGGGACCUGGGAAUGUUUGGGGGCGGGAGGGGCCACCGUGGCUGCAGCUUAAGCUGCUCCAGAGCUGCAUCUGGAGCCCCUGACUCAGAUCCGUGGGCCCCUGAAACCUCCGUUCCACCUGCCACCCCAGAUCUUGCCUCAUACCCCAGGCCCAUGGCCAGCCCUCCCUCCCUCCCAGCCCCUCUGCUCCCUUGCUCCCAUCCUACCCCUCUCUGUGACUUGCUCCCCGCCUCCAGGAACCCACAGCCCAGCAGGGAAGAUGGCUCUUGGAGACCCCAGGUGAGCCGAAGUGCAGAGAUGGCUAGGAAUGCGCUGGUGAGGAGGGGAGAUAUUUCCCAGCAGCGGGACUAGGUGCUGGGCCCAGGGCAAACCUGGGGCUGUUCACACAAUGGGGGCCGUUGCUGGGGGGGGGGGCUAAAGGAUAUUGUGCUGUUAUUUAAAAGAGGAGGUGGAGCCAGGGAGGGAGGGGACCUUAAGAGGGAAGAGAGAGUCAGAGAGCCUCUUGCACACACCCUGCUGGGGUGGGCCUCCUGGUGGGGGGAUUCUCAUCUGUGAGGGGGACGCCAAGCUGACAUGGAACAGGCCCCAGGUCACAUGCAGAGCAAAGGCUGCCUCCAUCAGAGGGGACAGGGUGGGGUGGGAAACAAGGUCUCAUGGCGGGUGGAACCUGUCUCUGGACUUUCCCACCCUUCUCCUGUGAGUGAGGUUUGGUCUCUGCAGCAGGGUCUGGAGUCCCCUGGAGGUUUCCAAGCCAGGCCUGUCUACCUGGACGGAGGCCCUGAUCUGUGCGGCCUGCUGCCAUUCACCCUCAUGCCUGCUCAGCCCCCUGCCACCCUCCCGCCAGACUCACCACCCCUGGAUGCCCAUCCUGCCUGGACAGAGUCAGGGCCCUCCUGCGAGGCCCAUCCUGUUGCCACCCGAGCUGCAGGAGACGGUCGCACGUUUCUGCUGGGCGCACGUGUGUUUAUGUCCUGCCCCCGACGGCCCCGCACUCCUCCCAGGCCCUGCCAGCUUCCAGAACAUUUAUCAGGCCUCUGUAUGUUUUUCUUGUGUGGGAUCUAAAAUGAUUUCUUUAAACAAGGUCUAAACUGGGAUUGAUUUCCUCUCUUUAUUUUGAGUGGUUUGUUUUGUAAUAUGGUUCUUUUAACAGUCUAAAUUGUGGGAACUUGGGAGGAAAAAGAGGGAAUUUUCUGACUUCAUAUAAAUACAAAUUACUUUAUCUGCCUUUGAAGACUUCCAUGUCUUUUCCUUGAAAAGGCUGGAGUGGAAUUCUUUGGGGUCCCUUUCAGAACUGCCAUGAUGAGAAGGAUACGCUCGCCCAGAGACUUCCAUUCCAGGCUGAGAAUGAAAAACAACCCGGGCCCUUCCACAGAGCCUCCUGCUUUUCUUUCAAAGCACAUUCAUCUCCAUUCAUCUGAUCUUCCCCACAUAAAAUUCCUUUAAUUUGAUCUUCACAACAGCAUGAGAGCUGAGGAAGAACACAACAUCCCUCCCAGCGGAGCGAGUCGGAGGGGGCUUGCCAGUCAGGUGUGGGCCUGGCCUGCGAGUCACCCUGUCACUGCUGGGGAGGCUCCAUCAUCUGUGAAUCAAUUCAAUAAACAC
rnacentral:lncRNA from 1 species